rnacentral:rRNA from 1 species
GCCUAACGCAUGCAAGUCGAGCGGUAGCACAGAGAGCUUGCUCUCGGGUGACGAGCGGCGGACGGGUGAGUAAUGUCUGGGAAACUGCCUGAUGGAGGGGGAUAACUACUGGAAACGGUAGCUAAUACCGCAUAACGUCGCAAGACCAAAGUGGGGGACCUUCGGGCCUCAUGCCAUCAGAUGUGCCCAGAUGGGAUUAGCUAGUAGGUGGGGUAACGGCUCACCUAGGCGACGAUCCCUAGCUGGUCUGAGAGGAUGACCAGCCACACUGGAACUGAGACACGGUCCAGACUCCUACGGGAGGCAGCAGUGGGGAAUAUUGCACAAUGGGCGCAAGCCUGAUGCAGCCAUGCCGCGUGUGUGAAGAAGGCCUUCGGGUUGUAAAGCACUUUCAGCGGGGAGGAAGGCGUUAAGGUUAAUAACCUUGGCGAUUGACGUUACCCGCAGAAGAAGCACCGGCUAACUCCGUGCCAGCAGCCGCGGUAAUACGGAGGGUGCAAGCGUUAAUCGGAAUUACUGGGCGUAAAGCGCACGCAGGCGGUCUGUCAAGUCGGAUGUGAAAUCCCCGGGCUCAACCUGGGAACUGCAUUCGAAACUGGCAGGCUAGAGUCUUGUAGAGGGGGGUAGAAUUCCAGGUGUAGCGGUGAAAUGCGUAGAGAUCUGGAGGAAUACCGGUGGCGAAGGCGGCCCCCUGGACAAAGACUGACGCUCAGGUGCGAAAGCGUGGGGAGCAAACAGGAUUAGAUACCCUGGUAGUCCACGCCGUAAACGAUGUCGAUUUGGAGGUUGUGCCCUUGAGGCGUGGCUUCCGGAGCUAACGCGUUAAAUCGACCGCCUGGGGAGUACGGCCGCAAGGUUAAAACUCAAAUGAAUUGACGGGGGCCCGCACAAGCGGUGGAGCAUGUGGUUUAAUUCGAUGCAACGCGAAGAACCUUACCUGGUCUUGACAUCCACAGAACUUUCCAGAGAUGGAUUGGUGCCUUCGGGAACUGUGAGACAGGUGCUGCAUGGCUGUCGUCAGCUCGUGUUGUGAAAUGUUGGGUUAAGUCCCGCAACGAGCGCAACCCUUAUCCUUUGUUGCCAGCGGUUCGGCCGGGAACUCAAAGGAGACUGCCAGUGAUAAACUGGAGGAAGGUGGGGAUGACGUCAAGUCAUCAUGGCCCUUACGACCAGGGCUACACACGUGCUACAAUGGCAUAUACAAAGAGAAGCGACCUCGCGAGAGCAAGCGGACCUCAUAAAGUAUGUCGUAGUCCGGAUUGGAGUCUGCAACUCGACUCCAUGAAGUCGGAAUCGCUAGUAAUCGUAGAUCAGAAUGCUACGGUGAAUACGUUCCCGGGCCUUGUACACACCGCCCGUCACACCAUGGGAGUGGGUUGCAAAAGAAGUAGGUAGCUUAACCUUCGGGAGGGCGCUUACCACUUUGUGAUUCAUGACUGGGGUG